GGAAUAUUCUUUUGAAUUCUUGUCAUAUAAAAUCAGUCUUUCCUCUACUUCUUCAAUUAAAAGACAGAUAUCAAUGUCGUCUUCAACAAUCUGCAUUUAAAAUAAUGUUUUUUUUUUCGAAUAACUGGCAACAUUGACAACCGACCGACGACUCUUUUGUCGCCGUGUGCGCACUUGCAUUGAAACCCAUAGGGAAGGAGACAGUUGCGUCGCGGCAGGCCUGUCGUCGACCCCUGCGACAAAAAAGUUGCGUCGCAACGUGUGCGCACCUUCAUACUAGCCCAUAGACCGAGCGACGGAGACAAAACUGUUGCGUCGCCCGUCUGCGCCCUCCCUUAACGUAGUGAGGAGUCAUUCAAAAAUGUUAUUACGGCCAAGGAGGAAAUCAUUUUGUUAAUUUGGUUAGUUUGGCGCUUUGCCCGCAUCGAGAUUUUAAGAUGGGCACAGUAACAUUCAUACAUAAGUAAAUAAAUUACAAUACUCAGAUACAUGUUUAAAAGUACUUUUAUUUUAUUUUCUCUGUAGACAGUGUAGACUAUUGUUAAUAAAAAUGAUGUUUUUUGUUGUAUUACACAACUAACAGCAUAAUAUAACAUCGACGACAAGAGCAAACAUAUUGUGUACAAAUAAAUAAAACUUAUGUAUAAAUAUAACAAGGUCCAAGGAAACGGAUUAGGUACGUUUAUUUCAAAUGUGGCAAUCACUGACACUCCAUAGCAAUCGAAACGCAACUGAGAGUGUUAGAGAAGCAUGAAACGUUUCGUUGGCGAAUCAAUAGCGAUUUUUGGCUUGGCCGGCAGACUCGUUAGCAUUUUGUGUCCUGCGUACUAGCAUUCAUCCUUCUCACAUUUAUGGCGCUUCUACAUCUGCUGUUAUAAAAUGAUGUAUUACAUUGUGUGACAGGGACAGCAUAAUCAAACACUGUCAAAUCUAUUACGUUACACAUAUACCCCCUUAUUCAUAAACGUUCACUAAAGUUCGACGUAUGGGUGUGAUAGAAAGGGAUUUUAUCGACUUGAUAACUUUAGUGAAAGUUUAUGAAUAAGGGAGAUAAUAUUUAUAACAGCCAAUGUGGGCGCAGUAAUACAUACAUACUUGCUAUUUAGAGACGGAUGCUUUACGUCGACGUAAAGGAUCGUGCCGCUCAUGCAUGCAGGCGAUAAGUUAAACACAAAAUAAUGUUCCUAUAAAAAUCAACAAAUAAGACGCUGCACACGUUCUAAGUUUGUAUCGAUAAAUAAACAAGACGUUGACUUGAUAUCUAGGAGGCGUUAUAAGGAAUGCCGAUGCGUCCCAACGGCGGAUCAGAGCAAGCGAGAAAUAUUCGUAUACAUAUGGAAAUUGCUGCGUCAUUUUUGCAUUGAACUUGCCAUUGAAUUCGCCACAACAGUCGUUUUAUUUUAUAACUUAUGUUAAAGAUACGUCAACGGAUCCUUGUGUUAA